GCCUCGGUAGUAUAAUUGAUAAGCACGUUAGACCUCAUAUCUGUAGAUGCGGGUUCAAGUCCCGCCUGAAGUU
rnacentral:tRNA from 1 species